UUCCAGCUCUCCCUGGCUACUCAUCCCCACUGCUCUAGACCUUUUUGAAGUCUGAAUGAGGAUGCCUUCACCCUCGGUUCAGUGUGUGAUUCGACUAACUCUAUCUUUGAUCCAAAAGACGUGCGCUGCGGCCAGCCUUGCCAAAUGUUGUGCUGUUGUAAGGACAAACCAACCUUCAAGCAACUUCACCCAUGGAGUCCAAGAGGGAUGGGAAAUUCCCCUGGAAGCCCAAAGUGAACCGAGGCCAAACUCUGGGCUUUUUCUGAUUAAACAUUUUGAGAGAAACCGAAGCGAUGAUGAUGUGGAAGUACGCACGGGGCUGUCCCCUUGCACAGAAGCACGGCGGAUGAAGACACAGGGAUUAGUACAGAUGAAUCAUUGCCAGUCUUGUCCCUGAGAGCAAUUGCCGGUGGCAACCUAAUAAACACCAGAUCUCCAAAA